UACGAAGGUGGCAAGCGUUGUUCGGAUUUACUGGGCGUAAAGAGCUCGUAGGCGGUUUGUCGCGUCUGCCGUGAAAGUCCGGGGCUCAACUCCGGAUCUGCGGUGGGUACGGGCAGACUAGAGUGAUGUAGGGGAGACUGGAAUUCCUGGUGUAGCGGUGAAAUGCGCAGAUAUCAGGAGGAACACCGAUGGCGAAGGCAGGUCUCUGGGCCACUACUGACGCUGAGAAGCGAAAGCAUGGGGAGCGAACAGG
rnacentral:rRNA from 1 species